GCUGAUUUCCAGUAGAGCAGCUCUGGAAACGUUAUCCAGCCUGGACCACAGAUUUCAUGACUUCUGUUGCAAAAUCUUUGCAAUUUUAAUCUAAAACAUUUCCCAGCUUCUUAAUGCGACCAUGCAAUCCAGGUGGACACGAGAAAUCCUGAGCCUUCUUUCCAGUGACACUUGGAAAUCCUUCUGAUGCUUGAGCAGCUGCUGUGCCAUAACUGCUCUGCAACAUAGUGACCUCUCUUAUUCCCUUCCACCCUGCUGUCUAUCUGCUUAUCUGCUUUCUGCCUAUGCUGCCACAAAGGUGCCAAUCUCUCUGAUUUCUGAUUGACUCUUUGGCUGUGCAUGACCCUACCUGGUCCUCAUCCUCUGAAAUAAAAGGAGUGGCAACUUACCAACUUGCAAAGUUGUCACAAUAACUUUUGUGUAGUGAGGUGUUGAAAUAUUACACAGAUAUUCUCCACUGUCAGCUGCAGUAAGAUGGCGCAGGAUCAGUGAAAAGUCACUUCUGUUUAUCUGGGCUCGAGGCUGGUAAGAGUGGGAUGUACCAUUGAAGGAGGCCACGACUGAAGUCACUGAAUUUCUGUUCAGUUUCCAAACAACAUAGACACCUUCAGUGUUUGCAGUGUUACUGCUGUAUUCACAAGGAAU